ACAUUUGAGUGAGUGGCGAACUGGUGAGUAACACGUGGGAAACCUGCCCAGAAGCGGGGGAUAACACCUGGAAACAGAUGCUAAUACCGCAUAACAACUUGGACCGCAUGGUCCGAGUUUGAAAGAUGGCUUCGGCUAUCACUUCUGGAUGGUCCCGCGGCGUAUUAGCUAGAUGGUGAGGUAACGGCUCACCAUGGCAAUGAUACGUAGCCGACCUGAGAGGGUAAUCGGCCACAUUGGGACUGAGACACGGCCCAAACUCCUACGGGAGGCAGCAGUAGGGAAUCUUCCACAAUGGACGAAAGUCUGAUGGAGCAACGCCGCGUGAGUGAAGAAGGGUUUCGGCUCGUAAAACUCUGUUGUUAAAGAAGAACAUAUCUGAGAGUAACUGUUCAGGUAUUGACGGUAUUUAACCAGAAAGCCACGGCUAACUACGUGCCAGCAGCCGCGGUAAUACGUAGGUGGCAAGCGUUGUCCGGAUUUAUUGGGCGUAAAGCGAGCGCAGGCGGUUUUUUAAGUCUGAUGUGAAAGCCUUCGGCUCAACCGAAGAAGUGCAUCGGAAACUGGGAAACUUGAGUGCAGAAGAGGACAGUGGAA
rnacentral:rRNA from 2 species